rnacentral:rRNA from 1 species
UGGCGGACGGGUGAGUGACGCGUGGGUAACCUGCCUUACACAGGGGGAUAACACCUGGAAACAGGUGCUAAUACCGCAUAAGCGCACAGGGCCGCAUGGCCCGGUGUGAAAAACUCCGGUGGUGUAAGAUGGACCCGCGUCUGAUUAGCUUGUUGGCGGGGUAGGGGCCCACCAAGGCGACGAUCAGUAGCCGGCCUGAGAGGGUGGACGGCCACAUUGGGACUGAGACACGGCCCAAACUCCUACGGAAGGCAGCAG